rnacentral:rRNA from 1 species
UCGGGAAUUUUGGGCAAUGGGCGCAAGCCUGAUCCAGCCAUGCCGCGUGCAGGAUGACGGUCCUAUGGAUUGUAAACUGCUUUUUGUACAGGAAGAAACAGUUCUACGUGUAGAACCUUGACGGUACUGUAAGAAUAAGGAUCGGCUAACUCCGUGCCAGCAGCCGCGGUAAUACGGAGGAUCCAAGCGUUAUCCGGAAUCAUUGGGUUUAAAGGGUCCGUAGGCGGUUAGAUAAGUCAGUGGUGAAAGCCCAUCGCUCAACGGUGGAACGGCCAUUGAUACUGUCUGACUUGAAUUAUUAGGAAGUAACUAGAAUAUGUAGUGUAGCGGUGAAAUGCUUAGAGAUUACAUGGAAUACCGAUUGCGAAGGCAGGUUACUACUAAUGGAUUGACGCUGAUGGACGAAAGCGUGGGUAGCGAACAGGAUUAGAUACCCCUGUAGUCCCUGAGCGGGCUGGCAAGGCGCAU